rnacentral:rRNA from 1 species
AUUGAACGCUGGCGGCAUGCCUUACACAUGCAAGUCGAACGGUAACGGGCCUUCGGGUGCCGACGAGUGGCGAACGGGUGAGUAAUGCAUCGGAACGUACCUUUCAGUGGGGGAUAACGUAGCGAAAGUUACGCUAAUACCGCAUAUUCUGUGAGCAGGAAAGCAGGGGAUCGCAAGACCUUGCGCUGAUUGAGCGCCCGAUGUCAGAUUAGCUAGUUGGUGAGGUAAAGGCUCACCAAGGCGACGAUCUGUAGCGGGUCUGAGAGGAUGAUCCGCCACACUGGAACUGAGACACGGUCCAGACUCCUACGGGAGGCAGCAGUGGGGAAUUUUGGACAAUGGGGGCAACCCUGAUCCAGCCAUGCCGCGUGAGUGAAGAAGGCCUUCGGGUUGUAAA